AAUGCGCAGGCAAUCCGCGGCAGCUGCUCUCCAAAUGUCAGCGACAGCCCGUCAACAGAGCUUGAAAACCACCAAUCUGAAGGACUUUGUGCUGUACCUUUCUCGCCCACAUUUUCCCCAAGCACUCUCAGGAACCUGGCAACAGGUAACGUGGCAACUUCUGCUUUACAAAAUGGCAAGUGGCAUAAUUUCAGAGAACAAUUUUUUUUUUGUAAGUCAGCUGUAACUCCCUCACCACCCCCACACCCAUCCCCCUCCUUCCCAACUAAAAGUCUGAGAAAACAAAGUACUUUAGGGCUGGCAACCCUGCUCUCCAGUGUCCCCUGGUGGCCAAGCUUUGGAACAUCACCGAUGUUACCUUGAAUUCUGCUGCUCUGCUCCAAGCUCCCAACUGCAGUUCCCCACUACCACAAAUAAUGCAGUUGCAUUUCUGACACUUGGGGAAAUUGCAGGGGUCAGCACACCUGGAGUGCAGUGAGUGAGCCUUGCUCUGGGGAAACUACCUUCAGGAUCAUGGUUAUCUCCUCUGCCAGGCCUUCAUCAUGGGAAGAGACUUCAAUUGCCUCAGGAAGAGAAGAGUUCCAGCUUAAACCAAAGAAAUCAUUGGUCAUAUUCUAAGUAGCCUUUUGAAAUUAAUAAAGAAGUGUGCAUACCACUCACCCUUUAAGAGUGAGUAGGAGCAUGGGGUCCUUCUCAUGGAACAGAUGUUGGACACAUUGUAAUAGGUGGAAUAAUGGCCCCACAAAGAUAGGCGGGUCAGAGUCAGAACAAUGCAGAAUAAGAAAGACUUGAUCAGCCAUUGCUGGCUUUGAAGACGGAUGAAGUGGCCACAAGCCAAGGAAUGUGUGCAGCCUCUAAGAGCCAAAAAAACAAAAUAGAUUCUUCCUUAGAGUCUCUGGAAGCAAUGUAGAAGCCCUGUCAACAGGAUUUUAGCCAAGGGAAGCCCAUGCUAUAGUUCUA